rnacentral:rRNA from 1 species
AGUGAACGCUGGCGGUAGGCCUAACACAUGCAAGUCGAACGGCAGCACAGUAAGAGCUUGCUCUUACGGGUGGCGAGUGGCGGACGGGUGAGGAAUACAUCGGCAUCUACUUUUUCGUGGGUGAUAACGUAGGGAAACUUACGCUAAUACCGCAUACGACCUACGGGUGAAAGCAGGGGUUCUUCGGACCUUGCGCGAUUGAAUGAGCCGAUGUCGGAUUAGCUAGUUGGCGGGGUAAAGGCCCACCAAGGCGACGAUCCGUAGCUGGUCUGAGAGGAUGAUCAGCCACACUGGAACUGAGACACGGUCCAGACUCCUACGGGAGGCAGCAGUGGGGAAUAUUGGACAAUGGGCGCAAGCCUGAUCCAGCCAUACCGCGUGGGUGAAGAAGGCCUUCGGGUUGUAAAGCCCUUUUGUUGGGAAAGAAAAGCAGCAGGUUAAUACCCGGCUGUUCUGACGGUACCCAAAGAAUAAGCACCGGCUAACUUCGUG